rnacentral:lncRNA from 1 species
GUACAAUAGCAUAGUGAAAGAAGUGGCCCUCUUUUGUAUUUUGAUAUUAUAUUUUGUAGCCAAUUCUGGCCUCAAGUUAUAUAUAUGUAAUUAGAACUCAUAUAUUCGUAAGAGAUUUGUAUUAAUUUGCUCCAUUGUAUUUAAUUUUUAUCAUGCACUCGUAAUUCUGUUUCUAUAACUGACAUCCACAUGCCUUAAUUACAAUUUGGAAUGUUACAGGUGCUAGUUUCCAACUUCGCUUUAGUAAAUGGGAGAACUGUAGGGCCUACCAUACAGGGCUUCAUACGGAGCCAUGUUGAUGCUGGAAUGAUAAUUGUUAUUAUAAAUAAAUUGACAC